UGUUAAGGCCUCUGGAAUAGAAUAUUUUUUUUGCCUCAUUUAUAGAAAUUGAGACCUAGCAUAUUUGAGCAUAAGUUGAUUUGAAAAAAUAAUUGAGCUGUCCGAGUAGUCUCAGGUUUCCCUGGAGACUUUGGUGCCUUCACCCAGAUAGCUACUUAGGGAGCUGAAGCUUGCUGCCAGGGUGACUUUUCCUGACUCGUGUCUUGAGUUCAGUGAGAAAGCGUUGUGAAGCAGAGAGAGAUUCUCCUCUUCUUCUGUUUAGUAAACUCCUUGUAAAAUACACUUUCCUUCUCAAGACCAGUUUUUUCCACAGUGUUUGAAUUUGGGGUGAGUAAAAUCAAACUCAGUUUAUUACUUUCUGUCUGGUAGUUGGAGAACUGAGCUGUAGGCCGUUGCGAUGACAGUGGGUCCCGCAGCAUGAGAGCUGUGCUCAGACAGUGAAGGACGGUGCCUCUGGUGUGCUGUGUGUCCUGGCCCUGCCCCAGGUGCUUCAGAGCCUCCGUGUGCCCCGAGAUUGCUUGACUCCAUAAACCUUUUUUAGGAGCUGCUCUUGUCUCCCUCUUGGCCACUUAGUCUGCUGUCUCAGUCACUACCUGAAGCCCCCAUUUAAUUUUUCUCUGGCAGUUACAGCUCUUGCAAUUUCAGCAUAAUCUCUUCUCUCAGACCAAUCUCAUCAAGAAAGAUUGAAGGCAUAACUAUGGAGUGAGCUGGACAUUGGAGCCACAUCUGCUGCCAAGUCAGCGUCUUGCUCGGCAAAUAUCAAGCUGUAAAUUGGCCCUGGGGCUCAGUGUCUCAUCAGCAUUGGAAAUCUAUGGCCUCUAAUCAGUCUGACCAAGUUGUGUAGAGCAUGACUUCCAUUAAUGGGAAUCUAAGAGCCAGCUGGCCUAAAACAUUUCCCUGUCACUUUCCCACUCAGCUGGCUUUCACUAGAUCAGUGGAACCAAUGACUAAAACUAAGGAAAAUUUAGCAACUUUGAUAUCCUCUGAUAAGAAAUUCCUAUCAAUAACCACUUCAUCCCACCCAAACUAGUUUAUUUCUCCCCCCAAAUUUGUGACUUGUAUGUUGAUUACAAAGGGGAUUUUGCUGAUAAUAGACUUUGAGUCCCCAUGUUCCAUUUUUUGCUGAUACAUCCCAUUCUAGGGCCUAGCCCUGUCUUCCUUGACUGUGUUCCCUUCAACCCAGUCCUCGCUUGGCAUAUACAAUAAAGAUUUGAUGAAUGAAAGGACCCAAGUAGGCCAGAUAGUCCCCCAGGCCCUGGUAGCCAUAAAAGGCUUGGGAAUGGAUUAUACAAUUGCUUCAGUCUUUUUGUUGUUCCGGAAAAAAAUAUGGGCUCAGAUGGAUGCCUGCGUAAAAAUGGUUCCUAGCUGUGUACUCAUAACUUUUCUCUGAAUUGAGUAGUGAAAACUGAAGUAGGAGGAAAGGAAAUUAAAUGUUCUUCUAGUAUUCCUUUGGACUCAGGUCUGACAUAUGAGAUAAUAACCUAUAUUGAAAUGCCAAGAAUUUUAUCUGAACCAAGGAGAGGACACUUUGACAGACUUAUUAUGCCUUCAUUUUACACCGGCACUGAAACCAAGUAAUAAACAUAUAAAAUAGCCAUUGCCCAAGGCAAACGAACCUAAACCUUGGUUUAUGUUUGAUGCAACAGAAAUUGAUUGUUAUAUUUUUAGGGAAACCUAUGCAAUUGUGGUCCAGUGGUAUCUGUUGAUCACUUAGCUUAUUGAUUCAGUUUCUGUUGAGUUGGAUUCUAGACGGUUACUACCUUGGAAAGGAUGUUUGGUGCCUUAUGUGAUGGGGGCCAGAGCCUGCUGGGAACAAACAAAGCAGAUUCAUGCCAGCAUCAGUGCACAGCUUUGGUGGGGAUGGGAGUGGCACACAGCCCCCAUCCAUGUGUGUCGUCUUCCUCUUCACGCUCUUGACAAUAACUUGAAAAUGGUAAGAUCACCUUCUCUGAACUUUCCUACAGCAUGGCAGUAUUCUUAUGUCAACAGAGUGGAUAGCUCAUAAUGUGAGUUAUUAGAACUGUGACAGCCUGCAUUGCCUCACUUUCCCAUGUUUCUGGAAUUGGUGGUGAAAUAACAGGGGUAAGGAAUCACUGGGUAAGUUUUACCCUGUGGGUAAUGCCUUAGUGUUAUUUAAAAGAUUUGUCAUUUAUAUUUAAAAUAAAUGUUCAUGAACAUUUGAAAGGAACAAAAUGAUCAGGGAUGGCUCUUUGCCAUGGGUCUCAUUUUCACUCUUUUCUGUAAGAAAAAAUAAUGAUAUCUUAUUAUAUAUUUUUUCAUUUUUAUUG
rnacentral:lncRNA from 1 species